rnacentral:rRNA from 1 species
CGGGACACGUGGUAUCCUGUCUGAAUAUGGGGGGACCAUCCUCCAAGGCUAAAUACUCCUGACUGACCGAUAGUGAACCAGUACCGUGAGGGAAAGGCGAAAAGAACCCCGGCGAGGGGAGUGAAAAAGAACCUGAAACCGUGUACGUACAAGCAGUGGGAGCACAGAGCAAUCUGUGUGACUGCGUACCUUUUGUAUAAUGGGUCAGCGACUUAUAUUCUGUAGCAAGGUUAACCGAAUAGGGGAGCCGAAGGGAAACCGAGUCUUAACUGGGCGUUAAGUUGCAGGGUAUAGACCCGAAACCCGGUGAUCUAGCCAUGGGCAGGUUGAAGGUUGGGUAACACUAACUGGAGGACCGAACCGACUAAUGUUGAAAAAUUAGCGGAUGACUUGUGGCUGGGGGUGAAAGGCCAAUCAAACCGGGAGAUAGCUGGUUCUCCCCGAAAGCUAUUUAGGUAGCGCCUCGUGAAUUCAUCUCCGGGGGUAGAGCACUGUUUCGGCAAGGGGGUCAUCCCGACUUACCAACCCGAUGCAAACUGCGAAUACCGGAGAAUGUUAUCACGGGAGACACACGGCGGGUGCUAACGUCCGUCGUGAAGAGGGAAACAACCCAGACCGCCAGCUAAGGUCCCAAAGUCAUGGUUAAGUGGGAAACGAUGUGGGAAGGCCCAGACAGCCAGGAUGUUGGCUUAGAAGCAGCCAUCAUUUAAAGAAAGCGUAAUAGCUCACUGGUCGAGUCGGCCUGCGCGGAAGAUGUAACGGGGCUAAACCAUGCACCGAAGCUGCGGCAGCGACGCUUAUGCGUUGUUGGGUAGGGGAGCGUUCUGUAAGCCUGCGAAGGUGUGCUGUGAGGCAUGCUGGAGGUAUCAGAAGUGCGAAUGCUGACAUAAGUAACGAUAAAGCGGGUGAAAAGCCCGCUCGCCGGAAGACCAAGGGUUCCUGUCCAACGUUAAUCGGGGCAGGGUGAGUCGACCCCUAAGGCGAGGCCGAAAGGCGUAGUCGAUGGGAAACAGGUUAAUAUUCCUGUACUUGGUGUUACUGCGAAGGGGGGACGGAGAAGGCUAUGUUGGCCGGGCGACGGUUGUCCCGGUUUAAGCGUGUAGGCUGGUUUUCCAGGCAAAUCCGGAAAAUCAAGGCUGAGGCGUGAUGACGAGGCACUACGGUGCUGAAGCAACAAAUGCCCUGCUUCCAGGAAAAGCCUCUAAGCAUCAGGUAACAUCAAAUCGUACCCCAAACCGACACAGGUGGUCAGGUAGAGAAUACCAAGGCGCUUGAGAGAACUCGGGUGAAGGAACUAGGCAAAAUGGUGCCGUAACUUCGGGAGAAGGCACGCUGAUAUGUAGGUGAAGUCCCUCGCGGAUGGAGCUGAAAUCAGUCGAAGAUACCAGCUGGCUGCAACUGUUUAUUAAAAACACAGCACUGUGCAAACACGAAAGUGGACGUAUACGGUGUGACGCCUGCCCGGUGCCGGAAGGUUAAUUGAUGGGGUUAGCGCAAGCGAAGCUCUUGAUCGAAGCCCCGGUAAACGGCGGCCGUAACUAUAACGGUCCUAAGGUAGCGAAAUUCCUUGUCGGGUAAGUUCCGACCUGCACGAAUGGCGUAAUGAUGGCCAGGCUGUCUCCACCCGAGACUCAGUGAAAUUGAACUCGCUGUGAAGAUGCAGUGUACCCGCGGCAAGACGGAAAGACCCCGUGAACCUUUACUAUAGCUUGACACUGAACAUUGAGCCUUGAUG